GACGAACCGAGCGAACGUUGUUCGGAAUCACUGGGCUUAAAGGGCGCGUAGGCGGGCUGCCAAGUCCGUGGUGAAAUCCCCCGGCUCAACCGGGGAAGGGCCUCGGAUACUGGCGGCCUCGAGGGGGGUAGGGGCGUGCGGAACUGUGGGUGGAGCGGUGAAAUGCGUUGAUAUCCACAGGAACUCCGGUGGCGAAGGCGGCACGCUGGACCUCAUCUGACGCUGAGGCGCGAAAGCCAGGGGAGCAAACGGG
rnacentral:rRNA from 1 species